rnacentral:misc_RNA from 1 species
AUGCUUAAUGAUAAGGUGAUUCAUUUUUGCCAGCAACUUAUGUCACUUCAGUUAAAUAUUGAUGUUGGUCUGCAAGAUCCUAUUAAAGGACAAGUGUUAUCUUUCCAUAUCUAUCCAAGCACGCCAUUUGUCCAAAUUCUUCAUGAUGGAAAUCUUCACUGGCUAUGUGUGACCACAUAUGAUUGCAAACCAGGGGAGAUAUAUAUAUUUGACAGCCUUUUCCAUGGUUCCAUCAGCUUGCAGAUAAAAAGGCAAAUAUGCUCCAUUUUACAUUGUCAACAAAAAAAUCUUAUUUUCAAAGUUUUGCCAGUUCAACAGCAAACAAAUGGUGUGGAUUGUGGAAUUUAUGCCAUUGCAUGGGCUCGUCAGAUUCUUGAAACAAAAAGUAUACCAUCAACAAAUCUGAUGUUUGAUCAAAGUGAAAUGAGAAGUCAUCUCCUGAAAUGUAUAUCAAACAACAGGAUGGAGAUAUUUCCAGCCACUAAAAAUCCUUUUUUGUUUAAAAGAUGUAAUGCUAAGACUUUUCGCGUUCCACUGCAUUGCUCAUGUCGCAUGUUUUGGAUACCUGGAGACGAAGACAUAUUUAACAGGCAAAUGGCACAAUGCUGUGUUUGUAGUAAAUGGUUUCAUCGUGAUUGUGAACAAAUUCCACCAAGUGCCUAUGAAAAGGAAGACGAAAUUUGGAUUUGUCAUGAUUGCCAGAACCGAUCAAAAUAUUAAGCCUACUAUGCAACAUACCUACAAAUUUCUAUGCGUUAAAUGCGUUGCUGAUAAAGUAGUACCAACAAUGGUAUUGCACAAAACCAAUUUUACUUGAAAAAGUAAAAUUUGCAAAUCCUACCCAAUAUUCUAUAGCAGGUACCCGCUGCUUACUUAAACUGGUAUCCUCGCAAAGAAUUACAUGAUAUGUGUGUGAAUAAAAAAAAUGGACAUCCGGAACGCCGUGUAAAAACGUUUGCUAUGCUGUAUUUACGCUAUUGAUAGAACUUUAGCAUUUUUAUAAUCUGCUAUUAGUUUAGAAGUAACAAUUUUAGAUUAAAUUAUUUAACUGUUUUUCAGUCGAUAACCAAGAGGUCAUAAGUCCACAUUUAUGUUUUUCCAAUUUAUUAUCAAUAUAUAUUUAAUUUGAAUACUCAAUUUUCUCGGAAACAUAAUGAACAUACGA